UGCAAUACCCUGAGACAGGGAGGAACUGUUUGAAACAGCCUGGGCCUUGUUCCUGUUCCCUCCUGGAGAACAUAACAUUUUGAGAUAGAUAGGAACUACAGGGACACCGGCGGCUUUGUUCCUCUUUCCUCUGGAAGCCAAGAUGUUCUUCAAAACUUUUCCCAGUGAGUUUCAUGGCCAAUGGGAUAUAUAUACAACCGCAGGUGGGAUGCCUUUUGGGGUCCCUUGGCUGUGAUCCAAGUGGAGCAUGUGAAUCAACAUUCUAUCUACCCUGGGAAGCCGUCUUGAUACUUGAGGGACCAACUCACAGUGGAUCUUAGGCUUCUUUGUCCCUUGCUGCAUAUCUACAUCUACCACUAUAGAGUCUGAAGUUGGCAGAUACUUUCCAAGUCAUCCUAGCAGCUGGGACAAAAGCUUAUGACAUAUGGUCCUACACUGGCAAAUAGGCAUGAGAAAUUUGAUAAAGACCUUCUAGGAAAAUAAAAAGACCUAUUGUCAGGUGCCAACUCUCAAUGUAAUGCCUAAACGUGUGAAAGUCAUCAUGCAGUCUUAAGGGAACACACAGCUAAAUUCCAAUGCUGAGAUGAUGAUAUGGAAGGCUGGAGGAUUCAGCUGGACAAUGAAACUGAGUUCUCCCAGUCCGAUGGUGUUUAGGAGACACAGUUCCAUGAAGGACAGGACCUAAAACAAACAUAAAAACACAUCUUGUCCUGGAGACAUUAGAAAAGAUAAGUGGGCUAAAUGUACCUAAAACUGAAACCUAGACCUGAUCUUGAUCAAUGUCUGAUUGGAUUGAGGUGAUAGCUGCUCUGUCAUCUAACAGGGAAGAAAGAAAAUCCUCUGAGGAGGGUCAUCUGAGGAGGGCAUCAUCUUCAGUUUUCACGUUUCUUUUGUGUACAAUGUCCA